AAUCAACGCUGGCGGCGUGCCUCAGACACGCAAGUCGAACGAUUAAAGCUCUCUUCGGAGAGUGCAUAAAGUGGCGCACGGGUGAGUAACACGUAAGUAAUCUACCCUCGAGUGGGGAAUACGUCCGGAAACGGACGCUAAUACCGCAUGAUGCAGCGGCACCGCAAGGUGACAGUUGUUAAAGAUUUAUCGCUUGGGGAGGAGCUUGCGGCAGAUUAGCUA
rnacentral:rRNA from 1 species